UCCGAAAGUGUACGUAAUUUUUUUUCGGAAACAUAAAAGAUUUCGGAAUCCAUUGAAUCAAUAGGAAGUAGGAGAAUACGGAGAAUACCACCAUCUAUAUCAAGACCUGGUUAAAAAUCCGAACAAAUUUCGCAACCGUAUGAGCAUCGAAACUUUCGAAUAUAUUUUAGGACAUAUUGAAGUUGUUCUCAUGAAAAAGUGGAACAACUUUAUUAAAACUCCAAUUGAGCCUUGCGAAAAACUUUUGAUCACACUGAGGUUUAUUGCAACGGGAUUCUGGGCUUCAUUUGAUGCUUCAGAAAUAGCAGACUACUGAGGUAUGGCCAGUUAGUGGAAAUGCUGUCAUCACCGGGAUCUCCAGAUCUCGACUGCGGCAGCUUUCGCAGUUCACGGCCAAAAGUAUCCCGUAAUUUUUUUAAUUUUUUUUAGCAGCAUACUCUGAAAUUCGAAAAAUCCUUUCAAUAUAUAUUCAAACAAUUUAA